rnacentral:rRNA from 1 species
UACAGAGGGGGCAAGCGUUAUCCGGAGUUACUGGGCGUAAAGGGCGUGUAGGCGGGUCAAUAAGUCUAUUCUGAAAGCUCCUGGCUAAACUGGGGAGAGGCGAAUGGAGACUGUUGGUCUAGAGUGAGGAAGAGGAAAGUGGAAUUCCGCGUGUAGUGGUGAAAUGCGUAGAGAUGCGGAGGAACACCAGUGGCGAAAGCGGCUUUCUGGUCCUUAACUGACGCUGAGGCGCGAAAGCAUGGGGAGCGAACGGG